rnacentral:tRNA from 1 species
GGGCGGUUGGUAUAAUGGAAUUAUACUGGUCUCCAAAACCAGAGAUCGGGGUUCGAUUCCCUGACCGUCUGCUA